UACGGGGGGGGCAAGCGUUGUUCGGAAUUACUGGGCGUAAAGGGCGCGUAGGCGGUUGGAUAAGUCAGCUGUGAAAACCACGGGCUUAACUCGUGGCCUGCAGUUGAGACUGUCUGGCUUGAGUGUGGGAGAGGAGAGUGGAAUUCCUGGUGUAGCGGUGAAAUGCGUAGAUAUCAGGAGGAACACCGGUGGCGAAGGCGAAUCUCUGGACAGUUACUGACACUGAGGCACGAAGGCCAGGGGAGCAAACAGG
rnacentral:rRNA from 1 species